rnacentral:rRNA from 1 species
GGAGGAAAGUAGGGGAUCGAAAGACCUUGCGCUUAAGGAGCGGCCGAUGUCUGAUUAGCUAGUUGGUGGGGUAAAGGCCUACCAAGGCAACGAUCAGUAGUUGGUCUGAGAGGACGACCAACCACACUGGGACUGAGACACGGCCCAGACUCCUACGGGAGGCAGCAGUGGGGAAUUUUGGACAAUGGGGGCAAGCCUGAUCCAGCCAUGCCGCGUGAGUGAAGAAGGCCUUCGGGUUGUAAAGCUCUUUCAGUCCGGAACGAAACGGUCACGGUUAAUACCCGUGAUCACUGACGGUACCGGAAGAAGAAGCACCGGCUAACUACGUGCCAGCAGCCGCAGGUAAUACCGUACGGGUGCCGAGCAGUUAAUCUGGAAUUACUGGGCGUAAAGCGUGCGCAGGCGGUUUUGUAAGUCAGAUGUGAAAUCCCCGGGCUCAACCUGGGAACUGCGUUUGAAACUACAAAGCUAG